rnacentral:rRNA from 1 species
GACGAACGCUGGCGGCGUGCCUAAUACAUGCAAGUAGAACGCACAGUUUAUACCGUAGCUUGCUACACCAUAGACUGUGAGUUGCGAACGGGUGAGUAACGCGUAGGUAACCUGCCUGGUAGCGGGGGAUAACUAUUGGAAACGAUAGCUAAUACCGCAUAAUAUUAAUUAUUGCAUGAUAAUUAAUUGAAAGAUGCAAUUGCAUCACUACCAGAUGGACCUGCGUUGUAUUAGCUAGUAGGUGAGGUAACGGCUCACCUAGGCGACGAUACAUAGCCGACCUGAGAGGGUGAUCGGCCACACUGAGACUGCGACACGCCCCAGACUCCUACGGGAGGCAGCAGUAGGGAAUCUUCGGCAAUGGACGAAAGUCUGACCGAGCAACGCCGCGUGAGUGAAGAAGGUUUUCGGAUCGUAAAGCUCUGUUGUAAGAGAAGAACGGGUGUGAGAGUGGAAAGUUCACCCUGUGACGGUAUCUUACCAGAAAGGGACGGCUAACUACGUG